UCAGGCCUAACACAUGCAAGUCGAGCGGUAACAGGGGGUGCUUGCACCCCGCUGACGAGCGGCGGACGGGUGAGUAAUGCUUAGGAAUCUGCCCAGUAGUGGGGGACAACAGUCGGAAACGGCUGCUAAUACCGCAUACGCCCUACGGGGGAAAGCAGGGGAUCUUCGGACCUUGCGCUAUUGGAUGAGCCUAAGUCGGAUUAGCUAGUUGGUGGGGUAAAGGCCUACCAAGGCGACGAUCCGUAGCUGGUCUGAGAGGAUGAUCAGCCACAUCGGGACUGAGACACGGCCCGAACUCCUACGGGAGGCACAGUGGGGAAUAUUGGACAAUGGGGGCAACCCUGAUCCAGCCAUGCCGCGUGUGUGAAGAAGGCUUUCGGGUUGUAAAGCACUUUCAGCGAGGAGGAAGGCCUUAAAGUUAAUACCUUUAAGGAUUGACGUUACUCGCAGAAGAAGCACCGG
rnacentral:rRNA from 1 species